rnacentral:rRNA from 1 species
AGUGAACGCUGGCGGUAGGCCUAACACAUGCAAGUCGAACGGCAGCACAGUAAGAGCUUGCUCUUACGGGUGGCGAGUGGCGGACGGGUGAGGAAUACAUCGGAAUCUACUUUUUCGUGGGGGAUAACGUAGGGAAACUUACGCUAAUACCGCAUACGACCUACGGGUGAAAGCAGGGGAUCUUCGGACCUUGCGCGAUUGAAUGAGCCGAUGUCGGAUUAGCUAGUUGGCGGGGUAAGGGCCCACCAAGGCGACGAUCCGUAGCUGGUCUGAGAGGAUGAUCAGCCACACUGGAACUGAGACACGGUCCAGACUCCUACGGGAGGCAGCAGUGGGGAAUAUUGGACAAUGGGCGCAAGCCUGAUCCAGCCAUACCGCGUGGGUGAAGAAGGCCUUCGGGUUGUAAAGCCCUUUUGUUGGGAAAGAAAAGCAGCAGGUUAAUACCCCGCUGUUCUGACGGUACCCAAAGAAUAAGCGCCGGCUAACUUCGUG